CUCAGAAUGAACGCUGGCGGCGUUAACUUUACACAUGCAAGUCGAGCGAGGCGUGGAGCAAUCCACAGUCGAGCGGCGAACGGGUGAGUAACGCGUGGAUGACCUGCCCUUCAGCGGGGAAUAACCCGGGGAAACUCGGGCUAAUACCGCAUACGACCGAGAGGUGAAAGAGUGGCUCGCAAGAGCUCUUACUGAAGGAGGGGUCCGCGUUCGAUUAGCUAGUUGGUAGGGUAAUGGCCUACCAAGGCGACGAUCGAUAGCCGGCCUGAGAGGGUGAUCGGCCACACUGGAACUGAGACACGGUCCAGACUCCUACGGGAGGCAGCAGUGGGGAAUUUUGCGCAAUGGGCUAACGCCUGACGCAGCAACGCCGCGUGGAGGAUGAAGGUCCUUGGAUCGUAAACUCCUGUCAGCAGGGAAAAAGCGAGUCGGCUUAAUACGCCGGUGAGUUGAUUGUACCUGCAGAGGAAGCCCCGGCUAACUCUGUGCCAGCAGCCGCGGUAAUACAGAGGGGGCGAGCGUUAUUCGGAAUUAUUGGGCGUAAAGGGCGCGUAGCGGCCAUUCAAGUGACGGGUGAAAGCCCUCGGCUUAACCGAGGAACUGCCUGUCAGACUGGGUGGCUUGAGACCGGGAGAGGUGAGUGGAAUUCCCAGUGUAG
rnacentral:rRNA from 1 species